UGCUNGGGGUCGAUUAGCCAUGCAAGUUAAAUGUUUUUCGUAAACAUAGCGAACUGCUCAGUAACACGUGGAUAACUUAACCUUAGGUCCGGCAUAACCCCGGGAAACUGGGGAUAAUUCCGGAUGUAUCAAGGAUGCUGGAAUGCCCUUUGGUUCAAAGCUUUUGUGCCUAAGGAUAGGUCUGCGGUCUAUCAGGUUGUAGUGGGUGUAACGUACCUACUAGCCGACGACGGAUACGGGUUGUGAGAGCAAGAGCCCGGAGAUGGAUUCUGAGACAAGAAUCCAGGCCCUACGGGGUGCAGCAGGCGCGAACACUUUACAAUGCGGGAAACCGCGAUAAGGGAACCCCGAGUGCCAGUACUAAGUGCUGGCUGUCUAGAUGAAUAGAUAUCAUUUAAUAGCAAGGGCCGGGCAAGACCGGUGCCAGCCGCCGCGGUAACACCGGCGGCCCGAGUGGUAACCGAUAUUAUUGGGUCUAAAGGGUCCGUAGCCUGUUUAAUAAGUCCUUUGGGAAAUCUGGCAGCUUAACUGUCAGGCUGCUAAAGGAUACUGUUAAACUUGGGACCGGUAGACGUAGGGGGUACUCCAGGGGUAGGAGUGAAAUCUUGUAAUCCCUGGGGGACCAUCUGUGGCGAAGGCGCCCUACGAGAACGGGUCCGACGGUGAGGGACGAAAGCUAGGGGAGCAAACCGGAUUAGAUACCCGGGUAGUCCUAGCUGUAANCGAUGCUCGCUAGAUGUCAGGCACGGUGCGUCCGUGUCUGGUGCCNCAGGNANCCGUUANCGAGCCCCUGGGGAGUACGGUCGCAGGCUGAACUUAAGNAUUGGCGGGGACNCUACACGGUGGGCCGCGUAUUNNNNUUUCCNCCCGAA
rnacentral:rRNA from 1 species